CCUUGUACACACCGCCCGUCAAGCCACGAAAGUCGGAAGCACCCGAAGUCACCGAUCCAACCCGCAAGGGAGGAAGGUGCCGAAGGUGAGUUCGAUGAUUGGGACU
rnacentral:rRNA from 1 species